AGAAAUUCAGAGCUCCUGGAGCCACAUGAGGAGGCCCACAGGUUCAUGCAGACUUUCUCGGUCUACUCCUGAGCCUCACAGCAUACCUGAGGCCCCGCAAAUGUGCAGCCAUAAAGCAGUUGUAAAAUGAAGAGGAGAUGGUCUGGGUGCUUUGACAUAGUGGGUGGAUGUCUGAAGGUGAAGGUGGGACCGAUUUUAAAGGAGGUGUCUAUAGGAGCUUCCAGGUCCCCUAAAUCCCACUGGCUCUGCCAGUGUUUGGCCUUCAGGUCUGUGAACUUGUCUCCCGAGGACCCCAGGGUUAACUAGACUCAGGGAUGCUGAUCAAGACAAACCAAUCCCCCAGACACCAAUGGUCAUAACCAGAAUCAUGAUUUAUUAAUUUGCAGGGGGAGCUGCAUCUGUUGGAAAGACCAGAUACAGACACUCCUGUAAGACUAUCACAAUCCCUACCUGUAGAAAAGCCCCAUGGGAGCCAAAUCAUAAUCAGAGGGCUGCUUGUGGAGAAUGCAACCCAAGCAGAGAGAUGUAGUAAAGGAAAAAACUGUCCUUGGCAUCAGGCUGAAACCACUGGGGGCUUCUACCUUGCAACUGGCCUCUAUCUAGGCAGGGGCACAGUCCUCCUCUGGCAGAGUUUGGAUGGGCACCAGCAAUUCAGACAUGUAAAAUCAUGACCAUAGAAAGCCACCCAGGCUUGGGAUUAAG
rnacentral:lncRNA from 10 species